rnacentral:rRNA from 1 species
GUCAUGGCUCAGGAUGAACGCUAGCGGCAGGCUUAACACAUGCAAGUCGAGGGGCAGCAUAAUGGUAGUAAUACUAUUGAUGGCGACCGGCGGACGGGUGCGUAACGCGUAUGCAACCUACCCUUUACAGGGGGAUAACACUGAGAAAUCGGUACUAAUACCCCAUAAUAUUCUGGGAGGCAUCUUUCGGAGUUGAAAGCUUUGGUGGUAAAGGAUGGGCAUGCGUUGUAUUAGCUAGUUGGUAAGG